UUACUGGUGUUGUAUUGGAUGAUGGGGAUAUUUUUUCCUCAUCAGUUGAUCGCACUUUAAAACGAUGGAGGAAGGGUCAAACUGUUGAAUCCUGGGAGGCACACAAGUCAGCCAUCCAAGCUGUAAUAAAGCUUCCUUCAGGAGAGCUAGUUUUGGGUUCGACUGACACAACCUUGAAACUUUGGAGAGGCAAGACUUGUUUGCACACUUU